UCCGGUUUUUCACCGGCAGUCCCCUUAGAGUGCCCAACUGAAUGCUGGCAACUAAGGGCAAGGGUUGCGCUCGUUGCGGGACUUAACCCAACAUCUCACGACACGAGCUGACGACGGCCAUGCAGCACCUGUCUUACAGUUCCCGAAGGCACCAAUCCAUCUCUGGAAAGUUCUGUAGAUGUCAAGGCCAGGUAAGGUUCUUCGCGUUGCAUCGAAUUAAACCACAUACUCCACCGCUUGUGCGGGCCCCCGUCAAUUCCUUUGAGUUUCAGUCUUGCGACCGUACUCCCCAGGCGGCAUACUUAUCGCGUUAGCUUCGGCACGGACAGACUGAACUGCCCACACCAAGUAUGCAUCGUUUAGGGCGUGGACUAC
rnacentral:misc_RNA from 1 species